AGACCUUACUUCGCACCGCCUCCCACUUCAGCGAGCCCUCAGGAGCGGGUCCGCGCCCUCCGUCCUCCACCGCUGAUUGGCUGAGCGGAUGUCACUCUGCCAAUGGCGCGUUGCUAUUGGCUGGGAGCGCGCUUCGGCCCGCCUCCCCCUCAGCGGUGCGGAGCCGUCAUGGCGGGUUGGAGCCCCUGAGGCGCGGCAGGGCCGCCAUGGCCCCGAAUCCCCUCAGGGGCGGCUUAGGCGGCUCUGACGCGCUUCCCGGCGUUUAACGGCGAUUAACGGGUCAAUCCCUCCGGCCACAGCCCGGUUAUCACCCUGGAUUAGGGGCAGCUCAUGCCCUGGCGGGUCUGAUCGCCUCAAAGCCAUGGAAGGAAUAUCUGAUUUUUAAUUUUUAUUUUUAACCUAAAUAGCCUGAAAUGUCUUGGAGCAGUGGCCAAGAAGAAGAAGCGGCGCCUUUGGGGUGUGGGGAGCGCCUUUGCCCCGCGGCGAGGCUGAGCAGGGAUCCAGAGGCAGGAAAAUUCCAGGUGGGAUCCAGAGGCAGGAAAAUUCCAGGUGGGAUCCAGAGGCAGGAAAAUUCCAGGUGGGAUCCAGAGGCAGGAAAAUUCCAGGUGGGAUCCAGAGGGAUUUCCUUGGGAUUUAACCGGGCAGGAGGAGAGGAAGAGCGGGACAGCACCUCGAGCCUCCCAAAUCCAAAUUUCUGCUGCCUCUCUUUUGGGGUCGAUGGUCUUGGGGCAGUUUUGGGAGAGUUUUUCCUCAAGAUUAAAUGGAAAAAAAAAAAAAAAAAAAAUAAAAUCCUGGAAUUGGAUUUUU